UGCCUAUUCCCUACAAGCAGUGUCCUGCUUACGAAUAUUAUUUAGAUAUCAGAUAUGUUUCUUUAUGUGCUUCCAUGUAAAGGGAAGCUCGGUGAUGAAUUGAUGAUUCAAAAUCCAAGAUGAAACUAGACUUGUAAGCUGUGACAUUGUUUUCUUUGUCAAGAUUAGCAAAGCAGUCGCAGCCCGGCUUGGAUCAGAGUUAGAUGGAGGACUCCUAAGCCGAAAAUAACUACACUUAGGAAAGUGAUUCAGUUGCUUCAGAAAAAAAUCAAGGAUCAGAUAGAGGAUUCAUAAGGGGUAAAGAAUCAAAUUGAAGAUAGCCAUUUAGCCUCCCCGAAAGAAGAAGGUCAGGUAGAUAAGCAC